UACGUAGAGUGCGAGCGUUAAUCGGAAUUACUGGGCGUAAAGUGUGCGCAGGCGGCCGAGCAAGUCGAGUGUGAAAGCCCCGAGCUUAACUUGGGAACUGCGCUCGAAACUACUUGGCUAGAGUGUGGCAGAGGGAGGUGGAAUUCCACGUGUAGCGGUGAAAUGCGUAGAGAUGUGGAGGAACACCGAUGGCGAAGGCAGCCUCCUGGGCCAACACUGACGCUCAUGCACGAAAGCGUGGGGAGCAAACAGG
rnacentral:rRNA from 1 species